UGAAAUUAUGUGUAGAGAGUAGGCCUUGAACUCUUUAGUAGGAAAAGUUUUUUUUAUUCUACAUCAAAAAUUUAUGCCCCAUUUGCCUUUGAAUUGAUUUUUUAGCUGCACAUUCAGUUUGACAAGAUACACUUGAAAGAAUGUCGCGGUUGUUGUCUUUCAUUGUUGGGACAUAUGUCGGCCUUUUUGUAGCCCAGAACACAGAGUUCUAUAAAGUUCCAGGGCCAGUUUUUCUGGUGGACAAAGUGAAGGAACUCAUGAAAACAGAGCCUGCCAAAAAUGAAAAAAAGGGAAAUGAUAGAAUUUCACCAUAGACACACUUGCCUGAUGAUUAACAUGAAUUUGUUUCCAAGAUGCAGCUUUUAGUUUUAUACUUUGAUUCUGUAGUAUCAACUCUGUUCAGAUUAUCUGUUUGCAUACAAGAAUUAUAUUAUUCUUUUUAUUUUAUUUUUAAUAUUACAAUAGAACUCUGUGAUGUUUUUAAAACAUCUUGAUUAUAUAAAUUUUUAUUAACAUAUGUGAUAACAGUAAGCUUUUAAACUCUAUUUAAUUGUUACUAAUUUGUAAUAUAAAACUACAUUUUCUUUCAAACUAAAUUGAAAACUCUUUGCAAUAUUCAGCUUGAACUAAAAUCUUGAUUAAAUAUGUUGGUUGUUAAAAA
rnacentral:sRNA from 1 species